GCCGGCCAGCAUCCCGCUCCCUUUGACCCGCAGUCUGUGCGGGAAGCAGGAGGUGGCCUUAGAAAGGCGGAGACCCAAGGAGCAGAGUGAGUCGGCCUCCAGCUCCACCUGAAAGCGCCAUCUUGUCGCCACUUCCCUCAGGAGCAGAUCAAAAGGACCUAAUGAAAUGUUUGUGGAACCUGUGUAAAACAUGCUGCACAAAGAUGUAAAUAAAUAAACCCAUGAACUCCUAGUACCCUGACCGCAGCAUAUGUAAGAUCAAUAAAUAGCU
rnacentral:lncRNA from 1 species